rnacentral:rRNA from 1 species
UGGGGAAUCAUGGUCAAUGGGCGAAAGCCUGAACCUGCGACGCCGCGUGAGUGAAGAAGGUUUUCGGAUCGUAAAGCUCUGUUAUUGGGGAAGAAAAAAAGACGGUACCCAAGAAGAAAGUCCCGGCUAACUACGUGCCAGCAGCCGCGGUAAUACGUAGGUGGCGAGCGUUGUCCGGAUUUACUGGGUGUAAAGGGCGUGUAGGCGGGAGAUCAAGUCAGAUGUGAAAUACCGGGGCUCAACCCCGGGGCUGCAUUUGAAACUGUUUUUCUUGAGUGAUGGAGAGGCAAGUGGAAUUCCUAGUGUAGCGGUGAAAUGCGUAGGUAUUAGGAGGAACACCAGUAGCGAAGGCGGCUCUCUGGACUGUAACUGACGCUGAGGCACGAAAGCGUGGGGAGCAAACA